CCUCGUGUAUGCUCAUGGUGCGCCACAGCUCAUAAUGAGCACGUAACGCCCUGGGAAUGCGAGGCAAUAUAUAAACAUCACCCAUCUUCCCUGUAUUUAUAAACUAAAGUUUAUAAAUAUUCACUUUCAUUACGCCUUUAGGGUUAUUUAAGUCCCAAUGACUUGCACACAUGCUAGACUCCUUGGUCCGUGUUUCAAGACGGGUCCUGUAAUUACCCAAAACAAUAAACGCCGUUGACAGAUGAUAAGGUAAACCCGUUCGAGAACACUACANCAUAACAAUACUAUACGUGUAGAACCGGCAAACAAAAUCAGUAUUCUNCAAUNUAACGUAUAAGCAUUUGUUAUAGGUCAGAACGCACUAAUAAUAGCGACUCAUCAUCUUUAUAUGACCAUCGGAUAGAUGUCGGGACACCACAAGUCCGGGUCGCACAAGUUAUAAAACUUGACGCCACGGUCUNCAUUGUGGACCUUAAGACACCCAUAUAAAACAAAGAACCAAUGGGUCACGACGCUCUACAAGAGGAGAAGUGCACACCUCCGACAAUAUUACAAAAAACAGCGGAGCACUACAUAAUACACAUUGAUCAGAAGAUCAAGCGACAUGUAAUGUCUCAAAAUUUAGUAAACAAACACUGUUAUUUGGUCAUAAUCGGUAAAGCGAUUGAAUCUCCCCGUUCGAACUUUGGGUAUUACAGGUUUACCCUUGAACAGUUUCACGUACUCUUGAACUCUCUCGUCAAAGUUCUUUUCAACUUUCCCUCACGGUACUUGUUUGCUAUCGGUUUCGCAGUAAUAUUUAGCCUUAGAUGGAGUUUACCACCCACUUAGAGCUGCACUCUCAAGCAACCCGACUUUAAGGAGAAACCCACCUAAAUAUAUAAACGGUCACUACGGGCCUGGCACCCUCUUUGGGUGAAUGGCCCCCUUCAAGAAGGANUUGGACGCGCUUAUAAACAAUUAGGUUAAUUGGGCUCUCCCAAACACUACAUUGCCCGACAAUCGUUUCCGAUUGUGGGCUUCAGUGCUGGGCUUUUCCCUGUUCGCUCGC
rnacentral:rRNA from 1 species